GAUCGUGCACGACGAGGGCGGUCCGCUGCCCGCGAUGUCGCGAGAAGUCCACUGAACCUUAUCAUUUAGAGGAAGGAGAAGUUGUAACAAGGUUUCCGUAGGUGAACCUGCGGAAGGAUCAUUG
rnacentral:rRNA from 1 species